rnacentral:rRNA from 1 species
GAGCGGGCAUCGCAAGAUGUCAGCGGCAGACGGGAGAGUAACACGUGGGAACGUGCCCUUCAGUUCGGAACAACCCAGGGAAACUUGGGCUGAUACCGGAUACGUCCGUAAGGAGAAAGAUUUAUCGCUGAAGGAUCGGCCCGCGUCUGAUUAGCUAGUUGGUGGGGUAAUGGCCCACCAAGGCGACGAUCAGUAGCUGGUCUGAGAGGAUGAUCAGCCUCACUGGGACUGAGACACGGCCCAGACUCCUACGGGAGGCAGCAGUGGGGAAUAUUGGACAAUGGGCGCAAGCCUGAUCCAGCCAUGCCGCGUGGGUGAUGAAGGCCCUAGGGUUGUAAAGCCCUUUCGGCGGGGAAGAUAAUGACGGUACCCGCAGAAUAAGCCCCGGCUAACUUCGUGCCAGCAGCCGCGGUAAU